rnacentral:tRNA from 1 species
GGUGCUAACAGCUCAGUGGUAGAGCACGUGCUUAGCACGCACCAGGUUCUGGGUUCAGUCCCCAGUACCUCCA